rnacentral:rRNA from 1 species
CCUUGUACACACCGCCCGUCACACCAUGGGAGUUGGUUUUACCCGAAGCCGGUGUGCGAACCGCAAGGACGCGAGCCGACCACGGUCAGGUCAGCGACUGGGGUG